rnacentral:lncRNA from 1 species
GUGAACUCUUGUUUCAGAGUUCUGUCAUUGAAAGUGGAAAUUAGGUCAGAUUCAGAUUCCGGACUCUUAAAACGAGUGAUUCGGUCAGGACCGGUGGCGAUGAUUGUUGUGGUUGGUCUGAAGAAUGGUGUGGAUAGCCGGAACGGGGAGGAGGCGUGAAGGAGGUGCGGCGGUGACGGCGAAGGAUGGGCGGAGAACGACGGUGAGGGUUUAAGGAUAAGGGUGGCCGCCAUGGCCGGAGUUGAGGGAGAAGGGGCUCCGGGAAACCAUAAGCGGAGGAUUUUGGUGGUGAUGGUAGCAGGCCUACACAAUUUACAUACCCAAAGUUAGUUGUCUAUUUAAUACCCAAAUUAAUACCCUAAAAACUGAAAUGACAAUAAUACCCUCAUGUGCAAUUCACAUAAUCAGAUUUAACAGAAAAAUCUAACUGGGUUAGGGCUAAAGGACAUAACAUGCAAAAUUGUAAAACAUUAAGUACAAGACUCGUCAAUUUAAAAGAUAAAGGACACCGCCUGAAAUCCACUA